UGGGGGAUAUUGGACAAUGGGCGAAAGCCUGAUCCAGCGACGCCGCGUGGAGGACGAAGCCCUUCGGGGUGUAAACUCCUUUUGCUAGGGAAAAAGGACUGAUGGUACCUAGCGAAUAAGCCCCGGCUAACUACGUGCCAGCAGCCGCGGUAAUACGUAGGGGGCGAGCGUUACCCGGAAUUACUGGGCGUAAAGGGCGCGUAGGUGGUUCGUCACGUCGGAUGUGAAAAUCUGGGGCUUAACCCCAGA
rnacentral:rRNA from 1 species